rnacentral:misc_RNA from 1 species
CUCCAAUUCAACCUCUUUUGCAACGGUUACACCAUCAUUAACAAUCUUUGGGGAACCAUACUUGCUUUCCAAAACCACAUUUCUUCCUUUGGGACCAAGAGUAACUCCAACUAAGUCUGCAAGCCGUGUAAUGGAUAAAAAGCUUUCAUCAUCUUCUGAUAAGUUGACUUCUCGUACAUCCAUUUCUUCAUUUGCACUCCCAAAAAGACAGAGCGUAGUUCUAAGAAGAAACCGU